rnacentral:rRNA from 1 species
UGCAGUCGAGCGCGAAGAGGCUCUCGGGUCUUGAGUAGAGCGGCGGACGGGUGCGUAAGACGCGGGCGACCUAUCCUUGGGGCGGGGAUACCCCUUCGAAAGAGGGGCUAAUACCGGAUGAGCCCACAGGCAGAGAUGCGAGGGGGCAAAGGGUGCAUUUUACUAAAUGUAUGUCUUCAGGGAGGGGCCCACGGCCUAUCAGCUAGUUGGUGUGGUAACGGCGCACCAAGGCGAAAACGGGUAGCUGGUCUGAGAGGAUGGCCAGCCACACGGGGACUGACACACGGCCCCGACUCCUACGGGAGGCAGCAGUGGGGAAUAUUGGGCAAUGGGCGCAAGCCUGACCCAGCGACGCCGCGUGGGUGAUGAAGGCCUUCGGGUCGUAAAGCCCUGUCGGGUGGAAAGAACGGUCGGGGUGCAAAUAGCACUCUGACGUGACGGUACCACCGAAGGAAGCACCGGCCAAUUCCGUGCCAUCAGCCGCGGUAAGACGGAAGGUGCAGGCGUUGCUCGGAAUCACUGGUCUUAAAGGGUGUGUAGGCGGCCUGGUAAGUCUGGCGUGAAAGCCCCGGGCUCAGCCCUGGAAGUGCGCUAGAAACUGCGAGGCUCGAGUGUCGGAGGGUAGAGUGGAAUUCCUGGUGUAGCGGUGAAAUGCGUAUAUAUCAGGAGGAAUACCGGUGGCUAAAGCGACUCUCUGGACAGCAACUGACGCUGAGGCACGAAAGCGUGGGGAGCUAACAGGAUCAGAUACACUGAUAGUCCACGCCGUAAACGAAUGGGGCACUA